GAGGUUGUGGCUCAGUGGUAGAGUGCUUAUCUCACGCAUGCGAGGCACUGGGUUCGAUUCUCAGCACCACA
rnacentral:tRNA from 1 species